rnacentral:misc_RNA from 1 species
GUGAAUCAUCGAAUUUUUGAACGCAAAUUGCACUCUCUUCGGUGAGUAUGCCUGUUUGAGGGUGAGCCUAAAAAAAAUUGACAACGUUGCUGUUUCGUGGUGGCGGUCGUCGGACAUUGGGUUAUCUUCAAUUUUUGGUUUAAGCGACUUAAAAUUUUCUUUACGAUUCCAUGAACGUUUCCAU